CUGAGAACGUAUUUAUCCACGUUUACUAUGCCAUGGCGUUGCCAGUUUAUUUUCGAUUCAUGAGUUUGACUGUCCCUCUGGUAUAUUUCGUACCUCUUUUAAUAGCAGUUAAUACUUUUUGUACAUUUAGAUCAAAAUAUUGGAUACUACUAGUAUUCUAAUUAUUGUACACGGUAUAUUAAUGUAAAUGCAAGUUAUCGUUUUUAAAGAUUGAUCAAUUUUAUCAUACUUUUGGCAAUUUGGAGACAUAUGCUUGAACUUUGGAAAUUCAGCUCGUUUGGGACAAUUAAAUACAUUUCUUGAAUUAUAAGUUCUAGAUCCUUAAGUGCAUUUAGUUUGCCUCUUUUAUCUCAAAGAUGAUUUAAACACAAAAACGCUAACAUUUUCAAAUACACAACAGCAGGAAUUGUGCAUCGGUGAACACUAGCAAUGAUAUUAUGCUGAAUUAAAGGGCUCAAUUCUACUGGUAAUAAAUAAUAUGGUUU
rnacentral:lncRNA from 1 species